UACGUAGGGUGCAAGCGUUAAUCGGAAUUACUGGGCGUAAAGCGUGCGCAGGCGGUCCGUUAAGACAGAUGUGAAAUCCCCGGGCUUAACCUGGGAAUGGCCGUUGAAACUGGCGAACUGGAGUGUGGCAGAGGGGGGUGGAAUUCCACGUGUAGCAGUGAAAUGCGUAGAGAUGUGGAGGAACACCGAUGGCGAAGGCAGCCCCCUGGGUCAAGAUUGACGCUCAUGCACGAAAGCGUGGGGAGCAAACAGG
rnacentral:rRNA from 1 species